rnacentral:rRNA from 1 species
AUUGAACGCUGGCGGCAGGCUUAACACAUGCAAGUCGAGCGAACGGCGGACGGGUGAGUAAUGUCUGGGAAACUGCCUGAUGGAGGGGGAUAACUACUGGAACCGGUAGCUAAUACCGCAUCCCAUCAGAUGUGCCCAGAUGGGAUUAGCUAGUAGGUGGGGUAAUGGAUCACCUAGGCGACCAUCCCUAGCUGGUCUGAGCGGAUGACCAGCCACACUGGAACUGAGACACGGUCCAUACUCCUACGGGAGGCAGCAGUGGGGAAUAUUGCAAAAUGGGCGAAAGCCUGAUGCAGCCAUGCCGCGUGUGUGAAGAAGGCCUUCGGGUUGUAAAGCACUUGCAGCGAGGAGGCGUUACUCGCAGAAGAAGCACCGGCUAACUCCGUGCCAGCCGCCGCGGUAAUAC